rnacentral:rRNA from 1 species
AGAGUUUGAUCAUGGCUCAGGACGAACGCUGGCGGCGUGCUUAACACAUGCAAGUCACGGGGGCCCGCAAGGGUAACCGGCGAACGGGUGCGUAACACGUGAGCAAUCUGCCUAGAUCUGGGGGAUAGCCGGCCCAACGGCCGGGUAAUACCGCAUACGCUUGCCGGGUGGCAUCACCGGGCAAGGAAACCUCCGGGGGAUCUAGAGGAGCUCGCGGCCUAUCAGCUAGUUGGUGGGGUCACGGCCCACCAAGGCGAUGACGGGUAGCUGGUCUGAGAGGAUGGCCAGCCACAUUGGGACUGAGAUACGGCCCAGACUCCUACGGGAGGCAGCAGUGGGGAAUAUUGCGCAAUGGCCGCAAGGCUGACGCAGCGACGCCGCGUGGGGGAUGAAGCAUUUCGGUGUGUAAACCCCUGUUGCUCGGGACGAACCUCUCCUUUCGAGGAGACUGACGGUACCGGGUGAGGAAGCACCGGCUAACUCCGUGCCAGCAGCCGCGGUAAUACGGAGGGUGCGAGCGUUGUCCGGAAUCACUGGGCGUAAAGGGCGCGUAGGCGGUGACUUAAGCGUGUGGUGAAAGCCCGGGGCUCAACCCCGGGUCUGCCGUGCGAACUGGGUCACUUGAGCACUGUAGAGGCAGGUGGAAUUCCGGGUGUAGCGGUGGAAUGCGUAGAGAUCCGGAAGAACACCAGUGGCGAAGGCGGCCUGCUGGGCAGUAGCUGACGCUGAGGCGCGACAGCGUGGGGAGCAAACAGGAUUAGAUACCCUGGUAGUCCACGCCGUAAACGAUGGGCACUAGGUGCUUGGGGGAACGACCCCCCGAGUGCCGGCGCUAACGCAUUAAGUGCCCCGCCUGGGGAGUACGGCCGCAAGGCUGAAACUCAAAGGAAUUGACGGGGGCCCGCACAAGCGGUGGAGCAUGUGGUUUAAUUCGACGCAACGCGAAGAACCUUACCCAGUUUUGACAUGGCCGGGAAAGCCUCUGGAAACAGGGGCCCCUCUUCGGAGCUCGGUCACAGGUGCUGCAUGGCUAUCGUCAGCUCCGUGUCGUGAGAUGUUGGGUUAAGUCCCGCAACGAGCGCAACCCUUACCCUUUAGUUACAGCGGGUCAUGCGGGUCUCCUAGGGGGGACUGCGGGUGCAAACCGGAGGAAGUGGGAUCUGACGUCCAAGUCAAUCAUGUCUUACGACUGGGGGCUACACACACGUGCUCCUCCAAGUGGGGUGGGUGAACCCA